rnacentral:rRNA from 1 species
GACGAACCGAGCGAACGUUGUUCGGAAUCACUGGGCUUAAAGGGCGCGUAGGCGGGCGGCUAAGUCUGUGGUGAAAUCCUCCGGCUCAACCGGGGAAGUGCCUUGAAUACUGGCGGUCUGGAGGGAGGUAGGGGCGUGCGGAACUAACGGUGGAGCGGUGAAAUGCGUUGAUAUCGUUAGGAACUCCGGUGGCGAAGGCGGCACGCUAGACCUCUUCUGACGCUGAGGCACGAAAGCCAGGGGAGCGAACGGG